CCAGAAGAGACCCUAACCGGUCCUCUCAACCCUGCCCAUCGUACCCUUUGUGUUGUUCCCGCUCGGCGAGGCUUUCGAGCCCCGCCGACGGGAAGAUCCACGAAACUCUUUGCAAGCAAGCAUUCUAAAACCUCUGAUUAACUACAAAUUGUCAC
rnacentral:misc_RNA from 1 species